rnacentral:rRNA from 1 species
GGAAAACUUACCAGGUCCAGACAUAGUGAGGAUUGACAGAUUGAGAGCUCUUUCUUGAUUCUAUGGGAGGUGGUGCAUGGCCGUUCUUAGUUGGUGGAGUGAUUUGUCUGGUUAAUUCCAUUAACGAACGAGACCCCCGCCUGCUAAAUAGGUCCGUGAAUGAAUUUCAUUGACGAGAUCUUCUUAGAGGGACUUUUGGUGACUAACCAAAGGAAGUUGGGGGCAAUAA